rnacentral:rRNA from 1 species
GUUAAACGGCCGCGGUAUUUUGACCGUGCAAAGGUAGCGCAAUCACUUGUCUUUUAAAUGAAGACCUGUAUGAAUGGUGGAACGAGGGCUUAACUGUCUCCCUCAUCUAGUCAAUGAAAUUGAUCUACCCGUGCAGAAGCGGGUAUAAGCAUACAAGACGAGAAGACCCUUUGGAGCUUAAGACAAAAGACCAACUAUGUCAAAAGUCCUAAACGGAACUAAACCAAAUAACCCUGGUCUCAAUCUUCGGUUGGGGUGACCACGGGAGAAAACACAGCUCCCAUGCGGACAGGGGAGACCCCCUAAAACUAAGAGAGACAUCUCUAAGGCACAGAACAUCUGACCACAAAGAUCCGGCGAUUCGCCGACCAACGGACCAAGUUACCCUAGGGAUAACAGCGCAAUCCCCUUCCAGAGUCCAUAUCGACAAGGGGGUUUACGACCUCGAUGUGGGAUCAGGACAUCCUAAUGGUG